rnacentral:rRNA from 1 species
GACGAACGCUGGCGGCGUGCUUAACACAUGCAAGUCGAACGCUGAAGCUCAGCUUUUGUUGGGUGGAUGAGUGGCGAACGGGUGAGUAACACGUGAGUAACCUGCCCCCUUCUUUGGGAUAACGCCCGGAAACGGGUGCUAAUACUGGAUAUUCACUGGUCUUCGCAUGGGGGUUGGUGGAAAGGGUUUUUCUGGUGGGGGAUGGGCUCGCGGCCUAUCAGCUUGUUGGUGGGGUGAUGGCCUACCAAGGCUUUGACGGGUAGCCGUCCUGAGAGGGUGACCGGUCACAUUGGGACUGAGAUACGGCCCAGACUCCUACGGGAGGCAGCAGUGGGGAAUAUUGCACAAUGGGCGCAAGCCUGAUGCAGCGACGCCGCGUGAGGGAUGGAGGCCUUCGGGUUGUGAACCUCUUUCGCUCAUGGUCAAGCCGCAACAAUGGUUGUGGUGAGGGUAGUGGGUAAAGAAGCGCCGGCUAACUACGUG